AUUGAACGCUGGCGGCAGGCUUAACACAUGCAAGUCGAGCGGAGAUGAGGUGCUUGCACCUUAUCUUAGCGGCGGACGGGUGAGUAAUGCUUAGGAAUCUGCCUAUUAGUGGGGGACAACAUUCCGAAAGGAAUGCUAAUACCGCAUACGCCCUACGGGGGAAAGCAGGGGAUCUUCGGACCUUGCGCUAAUAGAUGAGCCUAAGUCGGAUUAGCUAGUUGGUGGGGUAAAGGCCUACCAAGGCGACGAACUGUAGCGGGUCUGAGAGGAUGAUCCGCCACACUGGGACUGAGACACGGCCCAGACUCCUACGUGAGGCAGCAGUGGGGAAUAUUGGACAAUGGGCGGAAGCCUGAUCCAGCCAUGCCGCGUGUGUGAAGAAGGCCUUUUGGUUGUAAAGCACUUUAAGCGAGGAGGAGGCUACCUGGAUUAAUACUCUAGGAUAGUGGACGUUACUCGCAGAAUAAGCACCGGCUAACUCUGUGCCAGCCGCCGCGGUAACAC
rnacentral:rRNA from 1 species